UGUAAUUCACCCCUCUCAACUCAAUAAGAAGAACUCUCUCUACUCUUCUCUCUAUUGCUAUUGUUCUUGUUCUAUUGUUCUUGUCUUUUGCUUUAGUAUAUAACACGUUAUCAGCACGAGACUCUACCGUCUCAAGUAUCAUGCUCGAAAAUCCAAGGUAUUUCCCUCUUCCUAAUUUAAUUUUCGAUUGUCUUAACUUUUACUUGUGAAGGGUUUUUCUUCAAAGAAAGAAUGAAGAAAGAAAAAGAAAAAAAAAAAAAGAAAAACGGCAAAAAGAGAAAACAAAGAAAAACGUGGAAAAAGGAAAGAAAGAAAGGAAAGGAAGAAAGGAAGAAAAUAUUGAAAA
rnacentral:lncRNA from 1 species